rnacentral:ncRNA from 1 species
GAAAAGACUAUGAAAAGGAGUAGUAAUGGUGGACUCGCCCGUUUAAGAGAGUUGGCGGUUGGUGCAAGCCUUCCGGGCACAUCAUGAACUCGCCUUUGAGUUGCAAGUGUGAAAUAUCAAGUAAUGCUUGCCGUUUUCCGCGUUAAGGAUAAUGAAGUGAGUGUGUGUAAUGCACACUAAUGUGGGUGGUACCGCGGGAGAAUUAUACAUAAUCCUCUCGUCCCUUAU